rnacentral:rRNA from 1 species
AUUGAACGCUGGCGGCAGGCCUAACACAUGCAAGUCGAGCGGAUGAAGGGAGCUUGCUCCUGGAUUCAGCGGCGGACGGGUGAGUAAUGCCUAGGAAUCUGCCUGGUAGUGGGGGAUAACGGCCGGAAACGGGCGCUAAUACCGCAUACGUCCUGAUGGAGAAAGUGUGGGAUCUUCGGACCUCACGCUAUCAGAUGAGCCUAGGUCGGAUUAGCUAGUUGGUGGGGUAAAGGCCUACCACGGCGACGAUCCGUAACUGGUCUGAGAGGAUGAUCAGUCACACUGGAGCUGAGACACGGUCCAGACUCCUACGGGAGGCAGCAGUGGGGAAUAUUGGACCAUGGGCGAAAGCCUGAUCCAGCCAUGCCGCGUGUGUGAAGAAGGUCUUCGGAUUGUAAAGCACUUUAAGUUGGGAGGAAGGGCAGUAAGUUAAUACCUUGCUGUUUUGACGUUACCAGCAGAAUAAGCACCGGCUAACUUCGUG